GGAAGCAGUCACUCUCUCUUUUAAAGAAACAGUGAGUGACUGCUUGCUAACAUCUUAUUCCUGGUUGGGCCGCGAAGAUAACAAUCUCGCACUUUGCGAGACAAGAAUUGUUCAUGCUAUACACGAUGCCGUGCUCCAGAAUAAGCACUUCCCAAGGCCGUCCCGCAAGGAUGUAGCGGAACACUUAAAAGCGGCGCUUCGCACUGCUAAGGAAAGAGUGCGAAGCAAAAGAAGAGGCCCCCGAAAUCCUCAGCAUGAAACAGUGGAUAACUUUUGGACUGCUGAGGAACAAUCACGUUGAAACAGGAAGAGCAGGCUGGGGUUAAGCCUUGAAGAGGAACUGAAGAAGAACUGAAGAGGAUCUGAAGAGAAACUGAAGAGGACCUGAAGAUAUAAU